UACGGGGGGGGCAAGCGUUGUUCGGAAUUACUGGGCGUAAAGGGUUCGUAGGUGGCCUGCUAAGUCAGACGUGAAAUCCCUCAGCUUAACUGGGGAACUGCGUCUGAUACUGGUGGGCUUGAGUGCAGGAGAGGAACGCGGAAUUCCAGGUGUAGCGGUGAAAUGCGUAGAUAUCUGGAGGAACACCGGUGGCGAAGGCGGCAUCCUGGACCAACACUGACGCUGAGUGAGCGAAAGCCAGGGGAGCAAACGGG
rnacentral:rRNA from 1 species